ACUGGGAAACAACUUUGUAGAACAUACCAACAUGCUAGGAAGUGACCCUUUAAUGAUACAGAUACUUUUAGAUGGUGGCUUUUGAAGGGGCUUUACUGUGUGGGGUGAAACGGGCUAGCUGGCGUAAGUUCAAGAUAUCUUUGGUUUUUCAUCGAUGGUGCUUUGACUUUUUCUAGUCAUAUUUACAAAGUUAUUUUUAGAACGUUUAUUUAUAGACAAGCAUGGGCUACGGUUUUGGCCAGCAGUGUUUUGUGAGUUUUCAACGAUAGCAAAAUCUUUUCCUUGGACAAUCUGGCCACCGGUGUUGUUCCAGGUUAUCAAAUGGAUGAUGAGACAGUUCGGACACCGGCACUGUUCCGGGUUGGCGGUUUGCUGUUUGUCAAAUAUGCUUUACAAGAAUUGGUGGACAGUUUCGACAUCGGCAUUGUUCCGGGUUGGUGGUUGGCGGGUUAUCACGUGUGGAACAUCGUUCGAUUGCAUCUCGGACUCUUAAGCAGCUCGUGAACGACGCAACGAUGACUUCCCAGAAGACGACCGCUCACUCCGGAUCGAUAUCACAGCUCUCUGAGCCGGACCGACCAUGAGCGCUCUGUAGAGGUGGACCAGGUGAAGAGCACGAGGCCAUACAGAAAAAAUCAGCACGUCGCAAAUCCCGACAACAUCCAACGAGUACUUCGGGAAGGUCAAUGCGGAGAACAACGAGAACCUCGCCCUGUAUGAAGCGCCGAGAACGACGUUUCUGAACACCGCCAGCUGGAUCGGACGCACGUCGACGUAGGUGAAGGUAUUUAGGAACAAGCUGGCAGACAAUAAUUAAGACCAUGUCUCAGGUGAGCAAGAGCGUUCAGACGCACACGGAGACACACCGGCUAUGCACCCUAGGACGACUCCGAUCUAGAUCGGACGCGCGAGAGUGGAGACGGCAGGAGAGACGAAUCGCACGCCAGAAAUCAACCGUCACCACUGCAAACACGGGUACAAGUGAAGCACGGCCCAUUAUCAAGGUCAAGCAGACAUGGAAACAAGAUGUAUGUUCGCUGAACCACGCGGAGUCUCACCGAUACCAAUAAAUUGCUCAACUCAGACAACAAGAGCGGUACUCGAAGCACACGGAUAACUACAGGAGUAACUGAAGCUAGAAAAAACGCCCCAUGGACCGAACGGGGUUUGGUGUUCCUGUCCCUGAGCGCGAGGACGGAUCAAUCGUGCACAGGUUGAGCUGAUUGACUGGUGGAUUCGACUAGAGCGCUUCAUUCGCUCCAAGCAUCUGGUAGAGCAGGGCCAUGCGCGCUGAUGGAGUGCUCGAAAAUCGGGCGCAUCACGUGGACGCAGAGCGGAGUGCGUGCCAACACCGUACGCGCAACAAUAUCCUACGCGUCGGGCGGACGCAAAGCUUCGUGCGCGGCAACACCUUACAUCAGAGACAUGCGAGGUCGAAGUAGGAGUUUUGAAUCUAUUUUCAACCUUAUCAACAGCUGUUAAAAUGAGUUAUUGCGUUGAUUGUUUUAAUUAUUUGUUAUAAAAAAACUGAAAU